UGGCUGAGUGGUAAAGCUCUUGGCUUCUGAACCAGGGGGUCCCGGGUUCAAAUCCUGG
rnacentral:tRNA from 1 species